rnacentral:rRNA from 1 species
GAUGAACGCUAGCGACAGGCCUAACACAUGCAAGUCGAGGGGCAGCGCGGGAGAAGCUUGCUUUUCCUGGCGGCGACCGGCGCACGGGUGCGUAACAGGUGUGCAAUCUGUCCAUAGUCGGGGGAUAGCCCAGCGAAAGCUGAAUUAACACUCCAUGUGAAUCGAAGCCGCAUGACUUUGAUUUGAAACGCAAGGACUAUGGGUGAGCACGCUUCUGAUUAGGUAGUUGGUGGGGUAACGGCCCACCAAGCCGACGAUCAGUAGGGGUUCUGAGAGGAAGGUCCCCCACAUUGGAACUGAGACACGGUCCAAACUCCUACGGGAGGCAGCAGUGAGGAAUAUUGGUCAAUGGGCGAGAGCCUGAACCAGCCAAGUCGCGUGAAGGAUGAAGGUUCUAUGGAUUGUAACUUCUUUUGUCCGAGGGUAAAGGAGUCCACGUGUGGAUUUUUGCAAGUAUCGGACGAAUAAGCAUCGGCUAACUCCGUGCCAGCAGCCGCGGUAAUACGGAGGAUGCGAGCGUUAUCCGGAUUUAUUGGGUUUAAAGGGUGCGUAGGUGGUUUGUUAAGUUUGUGGUGAAAGCGUGCGGCUCAACCGUACCAAGCCAUGAAAACUGGCGAACUUGAGUGCAAACGAGGUAGGCGGAAUGUGAUGUGUAGCGGUGAAAUGCUUAGAUAUGUCACAGAACCCCGAUUGCGAAGGCAGCUUACCAGCAUGCAACUGACACUGAGGCACGAAAGCGUGGGUAUCAAACA